rnacentral:rRNA from 1 species
GACGUAGGGCGCGAGCGUUGUCCGGAUUUAUUGGGCGUAAAGAGCUCGUAGGCGGCUUGUUGCGUCAGCUGUGAAAACCCGCAGCUCAACUGUGGGCUUGCAGCUGAUACGGGCAGGCUUGAGUUCGGUAGGGGAGACUGGAAUUCCUGGUGUAGCGGUGAAAUGCGCAGAUAUCAGGAGGAACACCGGUGGCGAAGGCGGGUCUCUGGGCCGCAACUGACACUGAGAGACGAAAGCUAGGGGAGCGAAUGGG